rnacentral:snRNA from 1 species
UCAAAUGAGAACUUUGAA